AGGAUGGCUGAGUAGUGAGCAGAGGAGCUGCAGCUGCUGCUCUUACACAGGAAAGAGGGGAUAACCACCCGUGACGUCACUUAAGAGGGAGAGCUCCUGCACCCUGGAAGGGCAUGACAGAGAUCUGCUGCUCACUGACUGUGUGUCCUGGUGGGCUCCCUCCUGCAAUUACAGGGGUUGAUGUCCUUAGCCAAAGGAGCCCCUCUGGCUGCUGAUCGGCAGGAGCAUUUUUCAGGUCUGCUGCCUCUUGUCCCUGUCCUCAUGGAGGGAUUCUUCUCUCACAGUCACUUCUCUUCCUGCACCUGGGGCUGCAGUUGCAGGUGCAGCCAAUCGCUGGGAGCUUACACCUCCUGGCUGGCAGCAGCAUGGAGCUUUGGUGCAUGUAGGGCAGAGUGACCCAUAGUCAGAUCUGUUCUGGGUGCAUCCCUCGCCCUUCUCUUCCACUCUGUGUCCUCGCCCCAGGUUCCUCUGCUGCCGUAUCUGUCCUCGGUUACUUGGCAUUGUUUGUGGGCUGAUUUGAGAAGGAAGCCAGCACCUGAUUCUGCAGCUCAUCAGCAGUUUGUCUGGCUUUGUUCAAAGCUCUAAGUGCUGUGAAAAGCUCCUGCAUGACGAGGACUGGAACGUUGGUCCCAGUGGGAUUUGGAGGCUGUGGCAGACCUGAGUGUCUCUGCUCCUGCACGAAGAGGACUGGAACGUUGGUCCCAGUGGGAUUUGGAGGCUGUGGCAGACCUGAGGGUCUCUGCUCACUGGAAGACUCCUUUUUCUUUGGGGACUUUCUUCUUGGAGGAGCUGACUUGUCCUGGGUGUGACCCUUGCCCUUCUGCUUCUGCCCCCUGGUAGCAUCUGGCAGUAAUCCACUACUCACUGCAGCUGUGCCUGCCUGGACAUCUGCUAGAACAGACUGAGAUGGGGCAGGAGCUUCAGUCUCCAAGAGCAGCCUUCUCUGAGGUAGCAGCACGUUGGCUGGCUCUCUACGGGCAACAGGAGCCAGCACGUCCAGGUGCCUGUGGCUGCUGCCACCCUGGCUCAAUGCUUUUUCGGCACCUCUGGCCUCACUGGCAUCGCUGAAAGUCUUAUCUUGAGAUGCCACCAUGUCCUUCCUCAUUGCCUCCUGAGGUGUACGUGGGUUUUUCUUUUUGGCCAGUAGACUCAGUGAUCGUCUGCUCCUACGUUGAUCUGUGUCCAGCCUGGCCUGCUCUAAGGAUCUGUUUUUCAUGAUGGGCUCUCUUCCCUUCUUUGAGAGCUUCUUAGUUGCCUUUCUGAUCAGGGAAUAGAGGGCCAUGCUGGCAGCUCGGAGCUUGGCCCCGGCAUUCUGAAUGAAAUGGCACAGGAGGGCUGGUGCACAGCAGUUUCUGCACAGCGUAGGUGGUGUCUCUGGUCUAGGAGUCGUGUGUUCUGCUGCUUCUUGCCUGGGCGUCAUCUCUGCGUGUGCUGCUUGGGGUCUGAAUGGUCUACCCUGUGGCAGACGCCUCCAUGGCAGAACCGAAGAACUCUCCACGAGGGUACGUUCAGGGAGCCCCUCUGGCUGCUGGGCAGCAGUGGUAUUUUUCUUGUCCUGUUGCUCACUGGCCUUGACCUCGGGUGAAUUCCUCUCUCGAACUGUUGCUCCUCCUGCAACAACCGGGGCUGCAGUGUCAGAUGGAGCCACGCCCUGGGAUCCUUCGUUGUUAGGCUGGGUGUAGUAGUCUCUAUAAAAUUCCAACUUUCGCCUCUCAACAUAUUCAUAUUGCUCCAGCCACAGAUGCAUCAUCUUGAUCUGAUAGUCAUCAGGGCCUUCAUAGAUUCUGCAGCAGGCAAUGUGGACUGGAGUCCUUGUUUCUUGUCUGCACGUAUCUGUCUCGGGGGCAGAUUUUCGCCGUGGGACAAGGGCCUGUGCUGCUGACCUCCUUGCCAGAGCUUGCCCAUGCCCACGCUGGAAGAGCGAGUAAGUGGGCCUCCUUGAGUGCCUCAGAGGAUGGGGAAGCUGGGAGUCUCUCUGACCCAGGACGGGCUCUGAGAAACUCCUCUUCAGGAACUGUGGUGCCUGCAUUUUUAUGUUAGGAUGCUCCAAAUGACUUUGCAUAGCCUCAUCCUCUAAGGGCAGGUCCUGCACCGUGGGAGCCACCAUCACAUCAGGCUUUCUCUGAUCACUGAGGCCCAGUCCCUGCUCCGCUUUCCUUUCUGGGAUGGAGCUUUCCAAGUUCUCCUGGGCUUUUGGGUGUCGGUAAGGUGCCUCCAUUUCCCCCCAACUGGUGCUCAACGGAUACAGCGAUGUCCUCAAAGAGCAGCGGUUUUCACUCACUGUGACCGAGCUGGUGGAAUCAUCGCUGCCC
ensembl:lncRNA